UUGUACUUAGGGCUGGACAAGGACCCGAAAACCGGUCCAACCCGCAUCAACCGUUGGCAAAAAGACAAAUUGGGUCGGAUGUACUCGGAUUGGCGGUUUUGCGGGCCCAUUAAGCAGUUUUCUAUGGGUUCAAUAGGGCGGGUGCGGUUCAACAAAUUGAAACCGUGGGUAUCCAUACCCGCCCGGCUGUAAAGAUAUUCUCCUUUGUGAACCCUAACAUUUCAGAAUUUCAUUAUAUCUCUCUUCUCUUCAUGUUAUGAACUCAUAACCUUAAAUACAGAUCCCCUUCCAUUUUGCGCCGCCAUAGAAUAGGGUUGCUAUUCAGAAGAUACGUUCGUCACACACGGGCAAUGGGUGAAGAGAAACCAUAUAGUAGAGAAACAAAAUAGAAUUCUGACACAGCGAGGGUUCCAAAAUUGUGAAUGGGUGUAAUGUUUAAAUUGCAAAUUUCUACUGUUCUUCACUUAUACCUAGAGGUGAUGCUCAUGGAUAUAAUGUUCAAUUAUGGGGAUACAUUUCUAACACAGUGACGGUAACUGGUGUAAAAGUAUGAUCAUUCAAAGCGCGCUUGGGACUGCAGAUUCCACAACACCGAUCCAAUACAGGUACAGAGAUAUGAUCAACAAAGCAGGAUAUCAUGUAGAUGCUGAUACAACUAAUAGGAAGAUUCAGAAGAAGCUAAUACAUGACAACUUAAAUGAUAAUAUUGUAGUAAUUUUAAGUCUUUGGUCAUGUGAAUAACUAUUGCCAAAUAAUGAUAAUGUUGUAGUAAUUUUAA